AGGGAGUGAGUUCAAGGCUGUUCUUAAUUUCUCAUCCAUUCUCUGUUUACUGAGUUUACUGAGGUCUUCAACCUAUUUUCGGAGGGCUUCAUAUUUUUUAAUUAAUUUUGUAUCCAGCCACUUUGCUGAAGAUGUUUAUCAUCUGUAGAGUUCCUUGGUUGAAUUUUUAGGGUCAUUCAUGUGUACUAUCACAUCAUCUGCAACACAAGCUGGACUGGAUGUGGAGAAAAAGGAACACGCUUCAUUGCUGGUGGGAAUGUAAACUUGUACAACCACUUUGGAAAUUAAUCUGGUGCUUUCUCAAAAAAAAUUAUGAACAGUGUUUCUUCAAGAUUCAGCUAUACAACCCCUGGGCAUAUAUUCAGAAGAUGCUCAACCAUACAACAAGGACUUUUUUUCAACUAUACUCAUAGCAGCUUUUCUCAUAAUAGCCAGAAUCUGGAACCAACCUAGAUGUCCCACAAUUGAGGAAUGGAUUCAGAAAUUGAGAUAUAUUUAUGUUGGGCCUGAUAAGACCUGCCUCAUAUACCUGAGCCUAGCUCAAGUUUGGAGACCUGCCUUUAUCUUCUGAUUUAAGAGGUGCCACUUCUGGACAAAAGCGAUUUAGCAUAUCCACCUUAAAAUUAACCCUGCCUGUUAACUGUUAUAUGGAGUUUUGUCACUGGCCCACCUCUCCUUGCACCACUUAUCCUCACUCUCUACUUCACUUACUUAAUCCUGCACCUUGACCAAAACUUAUAAAAAAGACCACUAAAUUCAAUAAACCGAGAUCCUGGUUCUACAGAUCUCCCAGCUCAGUAGUGUUUUAUUCCCUGGGACAUCUGGGGAGAUUCAGGCCAUUGACAUUCAUCAUCCACGGAGGUCAUUCAGCUGGACUGGCCACCCUCCUCUCAGCUCUACCUGCCAGAUACUGACCCAGCACAUGGGGCCCCCUGUGAGUAUUCUGCUCGAGGGAAGAAUGCUGACAGGCCAACUGGUCUGCGGGGGACUGCUUUCAGGUACUACCUCAUCCUGAUAACGGCAGCAUUGAUGUUGGGAGUGUCCACCCCUCCCACUGUCACUCCAACUCCUUCCUGGAGAAAUUCCUUCCUUGCCUCCCCACCCCUCAAUGAUGUUUUGCUGUGGGGAAGGAAUGGCCUUUAGACUACCUGUCAGAGGAAAAAUGCUGCUUCUACGCCAACAAAUGGGGCAUUGUCAGAGAUCAAAUAAAAAUCCUCCAAGAAGACUUGGACAGAUGACGCUGAGAACAUCAAGAAAAACCCCUGUGGAUUGGCUUUCAUGGCUUCCUGCCUUAUAUUCUUCCUCUACUUGGACUCUUAUUUUUUCUCCUUCUCCUACUUACCCUUCGGCCAUGCAUUUUUAACAAGCUCGUGCAGUUUAUCCAGACAGUCAAGUCUACCUGAAGGCCCUGAUUGGCCAAUUUGUCUUGAGUGAUAUGAACACUUUUGUUAGGGUUAGAAUAUUCUGAAGGUACAUAGCCUAUUGGUUCCUGAUUCAGGUUAUCCUUUACAGGGACAAAACAUUUCUAGGUAUGCAGAGAUUUGUAAUUCAAUAACAUUUGGUGCCUUAUCUAAUAGCCUUCCUGUUUGUCUUUCCAUCCAGU